AUUUAUAUAAUAUAAAAUAGUAUAAUUGAUUUCCAAUCAAAAAGUCUAAUAAUUUUAGUAUAAAUA
rnacentral:tRNA from 1 species